rnacentral:rRNA from 1 species
GAGCUUGCUCCACCGGAAAAAGAAGAGUGGCGAACGGGUGAGUAACACGUGGGUAACCUGCCCAUCAGAAGGGGAUAACACUUGGAAACAGGUGCUAAUACCGUAUAACAAUCAAAACCGCAUGGUUUUGAUUUGAAAGGCGCUUUCGGGUGUCGCUGAUGGAUGGACCCGCGGUGCAUUAGCUAGUUGGUGAGGUAACGGCUCACCAAGGCCACGAUGCAUAGCCGACCUGAGAGGGUGAUCGGCCACAUUGGGACUGAGACACGGCCCAAACUCCUACGGGAGGUAGCAGUAGGGAAUCUUCGGCAAUGGACGAAAGUCUGACCGAGCAACGCCGCGUGAGUGAAGAAGGUUUUCGGAUCGUAAAACUCUGUUGUUAGAGAAGAACAAGGAUGAGAGUAACUGUUCAUCCCUUGACGGUAUCUAACCAGAAAGCCACGGCUAACUACGUGCCAGCAGCCGCGGUAAUACGUAGGUGGCAAGCGUUGUCCGGAUUUAUUGGGCGUAAAGCGAGCGCAGGCGGUUUCUUAAGUCUGAUGUGAAAGCCCCCGGCUCAACCGGGGAGGGUCAUUGGAAACUGGGAGACUUGAGUGCAGAAGAGGAGAGUGGAAUUCCAUGUGUAGCGGUGAAAUGCGUAGAUAUAUGGAGGAACACCAGUGGCGAAUGCGGCUCUCUGGUCUGUAACUGACGCUGAGG